UGCUCAGAGAGAUAGCUCAGUUGGUAGAGCAUGGGAGUCGUAGAGAGGUAGAGAUCUCAGGGUUGUGGGUUCAAGCUCCAAGUUGGGCAA